ensembl:lncRNA
CUAGGUCUAUAGGGUGACGUCAGGUCUAGGUCUGUAGGGUGACGUCAGGUCUAGGUCUGUAGGGUGACGUCAGGUCUAGGUCUGUAGGGUGACGUCAGGUCUAGGUCUAUAGGGUGACGUCAGGUCUAGGUCUGUAGGGUGACGUCAGGUCUAGGUCUGUAGGGUGACGUCAGGUCUAGGUCUGUAGGGUGACGUCAGUUCUAGGUCUGUAGGGUGACGUCAGGUCUAGGUCUGGAGAGUGACUUCAGGUCUAGGUCUGUAGGGUGACGUCAGGUCUUGAUCUGGAGAGUGACAUCAGGUCUAGGUCUGCAGAGUGACAUCAGGUCUAGUUCUGUAGGGUGACGUCAGGUCUAGGUCUGCAGAGUGACGUCAGGUCUAGGUCUGCAGGGUGACGUCAGGUCUAGGUCUGUAGGGUGACGUCUAGGUCUGUAGGUUGACAUCCUGUCU